UGAACUAAAAUGAGCUUUCGCUGUGUCA
rnacentral:piRNA from 1 species